rnacentral:rRNA from 1 species
UACGAAGGGGGCGAGCAUUGUUCGGAAUUAUUGGGCGUAAAGCGCGCGCAGGCGGUCCUUUAAGUCUGAUGUGAAAGCCCACGGCUCAACCGUGGAGGGUCAUUGGAAACUGGGGGACUUGAGUACAGAAGAGAAGAGUGGAAUUCCACGUGUAGCGGUGAAAUGCGUAGAGAUGUGGAGGAACACCAGUGGCGAAGGCGACUCUUUGGUCUGUAACUGACGCUGAGGCGCGAAAGCGUGGGGAGCAAACAGG